rnacentral:lncRNA from 1 species
GGCGAGUGAGAAUGACAAGAAGCUACAGUAGCAACAAGUUCUGACAGCUCAAUCGUCAUGAAACGUAAAUACAUCGAUGAGUUUUUCUCCAUUGGUUUCAUACAAACUUUGAGAAAUAACAAGGAGCGCCCACAAUGUGUUUUGUGCGGGGAAGUGCUUAGUAAUAAGUCUCUCAAAACGGAACAAAUGAAAACGACACAUCCUGACCAAACAUCCAGAGCAUGACGGUUAACACAGGGAAUUCUUCCAGAACAGGGCAGAAUACUUCAGGAAACAGUGCCUCGACAGUGGAUGAGUAAAUCAGCUAGGAAGGCAUUGUUGAAAUUUUAUAACAGGGAUCCACGCUGACCUUUCAAGGUGAAACAAACUCGGAUCAGGUCCUGAGUCUGACCAGACAGUCCAUCACUACCGCAGUCUGUCUGGGUAGCCUGAAAUACACGUUGGACUGUGUGAAGCCUCAGGUGGUGAAUAAAGUAGAAUGUAACUGCACCAUGAAACCUAGCGGGCCCUCCUCUUACCCUGACCACAUCAAGGCUGUCAGGCCAGGUGAGAGAGGGAUAAAUAUUAAGUCAUAGUUGGAAUCAGGAUGUGUUUUAGGCACCCAGUCCUGAGAAUCAAUGGCUACACUGAGUGUACUAAACAUUAUGAACACCUGCUCAGGUGAAACUUGGUGAAAGCUAUGAUCCCUUAUAGAAUGUACUACUUAUAUAUCCAAGCCUUUUGCCAGCUUUACAUGAUUAAUUUGUUGAAUUUCUGUUGAAUUGUUUGCCUUAUUGUUCAAGUAGGCCUUGUCACUUGUUAAAUCCACUUCAAUCAGUGUAGGUGAAUGGGAGGAGACAGGUUAAAGAAUGAUUUUAAAGCCUUGAGACAAUUGAGACAUGGAUUGUGUGUGU